rnacentral:rRNA from 1 species
UGGUGGAGUGAUUUGUCUGGUUAAUUCCGUUAACGAACGAGACCUCGACCUGCUAAAUAGUUUAGAGAAUGCUUGCAUUCUUGGUUAACUUCUUAGAGGGACUAUCGCGCUUUCAGCCGAUGGAAGUUCGAGGCAAUAACA